rnacentral:rRNA from 2 species
GAACUUUCCAGAGAUGGACUGGUGCCUUCGGGAACUGUGAGACAGGUGCUGCAUGGCUGUCGUCAGCUCGUGUUGUGAAAUGUUGGGUUAAGUCCCGCAACGAGCGCAACCCUUAUCCUUUGUUGCCAGCGGUUAGGCCGGGAACUCAAAGGAGACUGCCAGUGAUAAACUGGAGGAAGGUGGGGAUGACGUCAAGUCAUCAUGGCCCUUACGACCAGGGCUACACACGUGCUACAAUGGCGCAUACAAAGAGAAGCGACCUCGCGAGAGCAAGCGGACCUCAUAAAGUGCGUCGUAGUCCGGAUUGGAGUCUGCAACUCGACUCCAUGAAGUCGGAAUCGCUAGUAAUCGUGGAUCAGAAUGCCACGGUGAAUACGUUCCCGGGCCUUGUACACACCGCCCGUCACACCAUGGGAGUGGGUUGCAAAAGAAGUAGGUAGCUUAACCUUCGGGAGGGCGCUUACCACUUUGUGAUUCAUGACUGGGGUGAAGUCGUAACAAGGUAACCGUAGGGGAACCUGC